GAGAUAUUAAAUCAAAAUGCAGACAAAAAAUGAGAAUAAACACUUAUCUUUUCUCAAUAUCACAGCUAGCAGUAGGUCAAUCUCUCUGCAGCAGCCUGAGCAACAGGUAUAUGUGAU